ACGAACGCUGGCGGCGCGCCUAAUACAUGCAAGUCGAGCGAGAAGACGUAGCAAUACGUUUGUAAAGCGGCGAACGGGUGAGGAAUACAUGGGUAACCUACCCUCGAGUGGGGAAUAACUAGCCGAAAGGUUAGCUAAUACCGCGUACGCUCCUUGGACUUCGGUUCAGGGAGGAAAGCGAUACCGUGGGUAUCGCGCUCUUGGAUGGGCUCAUGUCCUAUCAGCUUGUUGGUGAGGUAACGGCUCACCAAGGCUUCGACGGGUAGCUGGUCUGAGAGGACGAUCAGCCACACUGGCACUGCGACACGGGCCAGACUCCUACGGGAGGCAGCAGUAAGGAAUAUUGCGCAAUGGGCGAAAGCCUGACGCAGCGACGCCGCGUGGGGGAUGAAGGUCUUCGGAUUGUAAACCCCUUUCGGGAGGGAAGAUGGAACGAGCAAUCGUUCGGACGGUACCUCCAGAAGCAACG
rnacentral:rRNA from 1 species